AUGGCGAACACGGCGGUGAGCGGAGACUUCGGCGCGCGUGACGAGCGGCCGUCGAGGAAGGGGGGCGAUGCGGGCGAUCCCGAUGACACGAGAUGGGAGGUCUCGUUUGCGCCUGAUUUCCGAUCGCGACGCUCGAUCUUGUUCCAGCCAGGGAUUCUGCUUCUCCGACACGAGGCGCUCCGACUGGUGCUGCUCGACGCCGGCGGGCAGACGUUCAACUUUGGAACCUUCUCUACGCUCCAAGAUGUAACAAAUAACUUUGAAUCCACCCUUCAUUUUCUUUCUGCUGAGACCUGCACCGUCCGCGCAGACGGCGAGGAGCACGGCAACGGCGACAAGGGCCAUUGCUUUCUGCUGAGACCAAAGCAAAGUGGAUCUCUGCUCUGCAUGCGCGUCCAUCAGCGCAAUCAGGAGAAAAAAUCCAAGUCCAUUGAGGUGCACAUCUUAUUUUCUCUGCGGGGAAGGAGGUGCACAUCUUAUUUUGUGCGCUCCAUCGCCACCUUGAGGUCGAUCAUGAACUGCUCCGUUGAUCAAGAUGCACUUGCGGCCUUCACUAAGCACGUGGAUGGGCAGUUGCUGCGAGUCAACGCUCUUCUGGUAGUGCACACUGUCUUGAUGGGAGUCAUGGUCGGCAUAGGCGCCUACGGCCAUCGCUAUCGCCACCAUCCAUUGACCCGCUACCUCUUCCUUGGUGUGACCAUGUUGUUUCUACCCACCGUCUCCUAUAUUGUCUCCACCACUAGUAAUCAGCGUGCCAUCGCCGUUCCAUUUGGGAGGAAUUUGGAAACCAUUUCUAUGGUUUGCUACCCAAUCAUCCUGGGUGUCUUAGUAUGGUCUGGUCUUGUUCAGAUUGUCGGUAUCAAUACUGCUGUAAUAGUUGCUGGAGAUGCUAGAGAAGCUCGAGACAUUGCACCCCCUGCGGUAUUUCUUGUUGAAGCAAUAUGGAUUUCUUACCUUAUGGCCAUCGCAGUUCCACAAUAUCAUCUGGAUUCUCCUUGGUUUAUUUUUGCACCAUGGGCUCUUAUCUUUGCCAAAUUACUUUUGAAGUAUUAUUCAUGGUACAAGGCCAGACAAUCAUUAACACUUGCACACAAUCCUCGUCUUAUUGUUGGAUACAUGGAGCAGUUACAAGAUAGAAGCCACCACGUAGAUCUAGCAAGACCUCCCCCACUUAUAGUCACGGGAGAGGAUGCUGAAUCAGUACAGAAACAGCCUCAUGGUUAUACCUUCAAAUGGAUAUCCAAUAGAGGUCAUAGGACAAGUAUAAACAAUGGCAUACUCACCAUGGACAAAGUUUGGCAGAUCUGCGUCAUGCUUCCGACCUCGACAGCACAUCUGCUUAAAGAUGUAUGCUUUUCGUUCGCAUUGUUCAAGUUGCUACGGUGUCGAUUUGCAAGGUACACAAUUGCUGAUGCUGGCUUCAUGAAGGCCCUUUUUCUCACAGUGGUCAAAUAUGGUACUUUUGGUGAACCACAGUUAGCUUGUUACAAGCACUGCAACGGCACUGAUGAGUAUAGGCACUUCAGAAGUGUAUUGUUUGAACGCAUGUCACUGUGUUCACUUGCUGCACUAGUUUUGCUUGCUGAGAUGAGAGAGAUUGCUUCGUACAUCUGCUCUAACUGGACAAAAAUAGCCCUUAUCCGCUGCUAUAUAAACAAUGCUUCUUGGCAACAAUCUCCUACCACGAAGAAAUGGGUUGGCAAUCUAUUGCAGUGUAGAUGCAAGAUGUUGAAACAUUGGGAGGACAAAAUGUACUUGUGCUCAGUCAUAGUGCUCCACCCAAGGAAAACUCCAGUGGCUCUUCUUCGUCGUCUCAUUAAUCUUCCUGACCAAAAGAAGAAGGUACCAACAGCGGUGAAGGUUGCUAUCAUCCAUGCAUUGAGAAGGCAUGUGCGAGCCGGAAACAAUGGCGUGCCAUCUCUGCCCAAGAUCCUGCAGCAGCUACAAGUCGGCGACAGCCUACUUUGGACGUUCAAUGGCGCCAAAGUAAGAUCAGACCCACAGCUUCCUCCCUCUGACCACAAGAUUGUUGCUACUCACCUGUCACGGUAUUGCGCCUACCUUGUGGCCCACUGUCCUCAGCUACUCCCUGACUUCGACCUCUGGUGUAAGGGCGUGUUUAAAGACGUUAAGAAGGAAGCAGAGCACAUCCUCAUCGGUGUUAUCAGGCCUGAAGCAACGGCCCAGGUGAAGUACCAGAAGCUAUCCGAGCAGCUGAGCACAAGAUCAGAGCAUGAGGUGCUCAAGAAUGGUGUGGAGUUUGGGAGGCGACUGGUGGAGCUGCCUGCAGGAGAAGAGAAGGCGUGGGAGGUUCUUGUCGGCUUCUGGUCGGAGAUGAUCCUGUAUGUCGGUCCGUCGGACAACCUUGAUGGGCACGCCGAGGCCAUCGCACGGGGCGGCGAGCUGAUAACGCUCCUCUGGGCGUUGCUCGGUCACCUAGGGUAUGUCAGCAGGCCCGACGAUGCAACCGCAGACGCUGCCACUGCAUGCUAG
rnacentral:rRNA from 1 species